rnacentral:rRNA from 1 species
CCUACGGGUGGCAGCAGUGGGGGAUAUUGCACAAUGGGCGGAACCCUGAUGCAGCGACGCCGCGUGGGUGAAGAAGCGCCUCGGCGCGUAAAGCUCUGUCAGCAGGGAAGAAAAUGACGGUUGCUGAACAAGAAGCCCCGGCUAACCACGUGCCAGCAGCCGCGGUAAUACGGAGGGGGCACGCGUUAUCUGGAUGUACUGGGUGUAAAGGGGGCGCAGACGGCGAGGCAGGCCAGGAGCGAAAGCCCGGGGCCCAAGGGGGGGACUGCUCGUGGAACUGCGUGGCUGGAGUGCAGGAGGGGUGGGCGGAAUUCCUGGUGUAGCGGUGAAAUGCGUAGAUAUCAGGAGGAACACCGGUGGCGAAGGCGACCUGCUGGACUGCAACUGACGUUGAGGCCCGAAAGCGUGGGGAGCAAACAGGAUUAGAUACCCGGGUAGUC